GGGGUUGUGGCUCACUGGUAGAGCGCUCGCCUGGCACGUGUGAGGCCCUGAGUUCCAUUCUCAGUACCACA
rnacentral:tRNA from 1 species